rnacentral:rRNA from 1 species
AGAGUUUGAUCAUGGCUCAGGACGAACGCUGGCGGCGUGCUUAACACAUGCAAGUCGAGCGGAAAGGCCCUUCGGGGUACUCGAGCGGCGAACGGGUGAGUAACACGUGAGCAACCUGCCCUUAGCUUUGGGAUAACCCUCGGAAACGGGGGCUAAUACCGAAUGUUCACUUCCUGUCGCAUGGUGGGGGGUGGAAAGUUUUUUCGGCUAGGGAUGGGCUCGCGGCCUAUCAGCUUGUUGGUGGGGUGAUGGCCUACCAAGGCGACGACGGGUAGCCGGCCUGAGAGGGCGACCGGCCACACUGGGACUGAGACACGGCCCAGACUCCUACGGGAGGCAGCAGUGGGGAAUAUUGCACAAUGGGCGCAAGCCUGAUGCAGCGACGCCGCGUGAGGGAUGACGGCCUUCGGGUUGUAAACCUCUUUCAGCAGGGACGAAGGGUGACUGACGGUACCUGCAGAAGAAGCGCCGGCCAACUACGUGCCAGCAGCCGCGGUAAGACGUAGGGCGCGAGCGUUGUCCGGAUUUAUUGGGCGUAAAGAGCUCGUAGGCGGCUUGUCGCGUCGACUGUGAAAACCCGUGGCUCAACCAUGUGGUCUGCAGUCGAUACGGGCAGGCUAGAAUUCGGUAGGGGAGACUGGAAUUCCUGGUGUAGCGGUGAAAUGCGCAGAUAUCAGGAGGAACACCGGUGGCGAAGGCGGGUCUCUGGGCCGAUAUUGACGCUGAGGAGCGAAAGCGUGGGGAGCGAACAGGAUUAGAUACCCCAGUAGUCC